UACGAAGGGUGCAAGCGUUACUCGGAAUUACUGGGCGUAAAGCGUGCGUAGGUGGUUCGUUAAGUCUGAUGUGAAAGCCCUGGGCUCAACCUGGGAAUGGCAUUGGAAACUGGCGACCUAGAGUGCGGUAGAGGGUAGUGGAAUUCCCGGUGUAGCAGUGAAAUGCGUAGAGAUCGGGAGGAACAUCCGUGGCGAAGGCGAAUCUCUGGACAGUUACUGACACUGAGGCACGAAGGCCAGGGGAGCAAACGGG
rnacentral:rRNA from 1 species